ensembl:lncRNA
UGAAGAGGGAAUCCUUCCCUGAGUGCCUCCAUGUGCAGAAAUUGGAGCCUUGAUUUUGCCAGGAUCAGGAUGCCAUGUCCUGCUGCCCACACAACCAGUGCUGGGCUGCAGAGUGUCACUGAGAUGAGGAUUUGGGGGUAUCAGGGACCCAGUGCAUGCUCUGGGGGUUCUGGAGGUCAAGGGCACACCAAACCCCACUGGAUCCUCCCUCCAUGUGCUGCCAUCUGUGCUCCUUGGAUGAACUGAGUUUUCACUUUCUAGCUGUCAUGAAUGAGCCCAGUGGUCGCAAAAGUAGAAAUGGAAUAUUUAAAUCCCAUGUCAGCAAGUGUGAUGAGAAUGCAAGAGGUGAGAAAGAUUUGGAAAUUCCUGUUUUCUGAGAUAAACUUCUAUAAAUGCGUGCCACAGUUUGGAACAGGAAAAGAACAUUUUUGGCAACACAUCUUCUGAAAAUCUUGGCACAAAAUGUUUCAAUCCCCUCCCACAAUUCCAAGACUAGAAAGAUUUAAAAGACUUUUCUGGAGUACGAAAAUACCCCAAGAUCACUGUUAGAAAGGUAGACAGUGGUAAAUGCCACGUAUUUUCUGGAGACAGAGACUGCACUAUGAACAC